AAAAAAAGAAAGAAAAAAACGAGAAGAAAGAAAAACACGCACAACACACACCACACCACCAUUUUCCUCUUCCUCCUCCUUCACUCACUUCUCCCAAAUUCCCCCCACCUCAUUAAACUCCCACCCUAAUUCCACAAAUCCAAACUCUCUCCCUCUCUCUCUCAGAUCCAUUGAGUUUGUUUGACUCAAUUUCUUCCUUCACAUCUUUCUACCUAAACUCGCUUGAAAUCACCUUCCGAUUCUCGUGUAUCUGGUGCCAACUUGUUGGGGGUGUUUUGGCUCAAGAGCUCGAAUUGUCGCUGAAAGCUAUGGCUUCGAUUGGAGCAGAUCUGUGCCGCAAAAUCUACCCCGAGCCGGUCGACCACUUCGAUCGGUUGCCGGACUCUCUCAUCCUCUUGAUCUUCAAUAAAAUCGGAGACGUGAAGGCGCUGGGCCGAUGCUGCGUCGUUUCGAGGCGGUUCCACUCGCUCGUUCCCCAAGUCGACAACGUCGUAGUCCGCGUCGACUGCGUCAUCUCCGAUGACGAUCCUUCCUCCAACUCUUCUUCGUCCGCAUCCGGUUCCGCCGCCGGCGACAAGUCGCGCCACCCUAUCUCCUCCCUCUUCCGCAUCUUCUUCUCCGGGAUCUUCAAACCCUUGCAGUCCCUGUCUCAGCUCAUCACCCCCUCGGCGCGCCGGCUUCCUCUUUCGGAGGUAUUUCGACUGCGAAGCGGAGCAGAGCACCGUCACACACCAUUCGCCGACGCAGGUCUUGAAGAAUUCAACGAGAUCAAGCUGCUCAGGAUAGAGCCUCCCCGACGGGGGAGCUGGGGAUUGAUGAAGGCGUUUUGCUCAAAUGGAAGCGGAAUUCGGCUCCACGCUUGACAGCUGCGUGAUUCUCGGAGCUUCGAGCGUCGUGCAGAGUGCAAAUAGCGGCUACAAUUGCCUGGGCGCUUGCAAUACCGCAAUUGGUGGUGAUAGUGGAGUGGAGAACGAUAAUGGUAGCAUACCGGAAUCGUUCUACACCAACGGAGGCCUGAAGCUGCGCGUUGUGUGGACCAUCAGCUCGUUGAUCGCCGCCUCCGCCAGGCAUUACCUUCUGCAGCCUAUAAUAGCGGAGCACAAGACGCUCUCGAGCUUGGUUUUGACGGAUGCUGAUGGGCAAGGGGUGCUGUCUAUGAAUAAGGAGCAGCUGGAGGAGCUGAGGGUGAAGCCUCUGUCAGCGUCGUCGGCUUCGAAGAGGACUCUUGUUCCGGCUCUCAACAUGCGUUUGUGGUAUGCUCCUCAUCUCGAGUUGCCUAACGGGGUGGUCUUGAAAGGAGCGACUCUGGUUGCGAUCCGGCCGAGCGAGCAGCCCAAGAAGGAGGUGGCGGGAUCGGAGGCAAAUUGGGUUGCAUCGGCGUUUGAGGAGCCAUUUGGGACUGCUGCAAGGAUGUUGGUGAAGAGGAGGACCUACUGCCUCGAAAUGAACUCUUUCUGAAGGAGGUGGCUUAUCUAAGGAUGAAGAGACAGAUGCAUGAGGUAUUUUCUCUUUUUUCUCUUUUUUUACAGAAUCCUUUAAUAAGUUUUGAUUGUUUCGGAGAUCUGUGGUUGAAUGCUAGCUAGUAUAUUGUAAUUCUUCAUUCUGUUGCUUUUUAUCUUAGGUUCGAAGUUGAAUUGUCUCUUGUUUGUUUAUUCUUAUUGCUGUUUCAAUGAUAAUAAAUUACUCUGUCUUGGUUUCUGAAAAUCAUGAGCAAUUUCUCAUACCAAUUGCUUCUGAUUUUUCCCUAAAUUGCAUAUUGGAUUCCCAAUUACAUAAGAGGGGUGCUUGAAGCUAUUGACUCCCUUUGCAUCUGUCUUAUUCCAAAGAGUUUUUCCACUCUGAUUCCAAUUGCGUCCUGAUUUUGGAUCCACUAUGUUGUUAUCUUGCAGUCUGUCACAUUCCCUUCAAUUUUGUUGGUUCAUAAUUUUUUUACUCCAAAUGAAGAAGAAUCAGAAGAUGCUUGUUGUGAACUACUUGAUCUGUUCUUUAUCUUAUCUAAUGGGAAUUGAAGGGCACUGUGUAUCUCCAUUGCUAGAAAGAUUGGUGGAAAUUUCAUUCUGCUAUGAUGCAUCUGUUUGGUUUUUAUACUCCUUACGUUUCUCAGUUAACCAUUUUAUAUCUAAGCUGUUGUGAGAGUGACUCUUGACCAGUUUCCUGUUUGAAUACUAGUUUUUGGGAAAUUCUGUGCUGCAACUGCGACAUCACCAUCUGUUUUAAGCUUUGAUUUCUUGAAUCCGUUUUAUAUCAGUGAUCCUGACUUCCUUAUUCAAGUAUCUUUCAGGUAAGCGAAGGUAAGGUCCCAAAAUCGCAGAGUGCAAAUUUUGUCUUGAGCAGAGCAAGCUGCAAGCGAGUUGCCGGCAANCAUUCGGCGAGAUAAAUCAUCUUUCCGUACACCGAAUUUAUAUAGCAGGAUUUUUUAUGGGAAAAACUGAAGUUAGGAUUUUUAGAGGAAAAUGAAAGUUCGGGACAUUUUGUGGAAAACGCUGAAAGUUCGGGACAUAAAACAGUAUUAACCCAAAUUAAAAUCAUAUUUUGUUAAUUUAAUCUUCAAUAGUAUCUUUUCUAUCAAAUAAAAAUAUUAAUUAUGAUAUAAUUAUAUCUUACAUAUCAGACACAUAUAAAUUCCUCCCUGAAAUAAUACUCCCUCCGUCCGCCAAAAGUAUGGCACUUUGGCUGGGCACGGAGAUUAAUAAAAUUAGUGAUGAUGUUGAUGUAGUGGAGAAAGGGUCCCACCACUUUUUGAGAUGUGUGGUGGAGAUUGAAUUUGGGGUGGGUUUUUUGUAAAUAAAGAGUGUUUGUAAGGAUAAAAUAUAAAGGUGGAUGGUGGGACCAUUGCUUUAAAAGGAAAGUUGUAUACUUUUUGCGGACGCCCAAUAUAGUAAUUGUGCCAUACUUUUGGCGGACAGAUGAGAUAUUUUUUAUCUUACAAGUACACUGAUUGAGAUAUGAAGGGUAAUUUAAGUAUUUUGGAUAUAUGAUCAAGUUUUUAUAACAUGUGGACAUUUUUAUUUUUGACUUAACAAAGUGGGCAUAAAAAAAUCCGCCUCCGAAUUAUUAGUUACUAGAAAAUAAAAGAGAAGAAAAGAAAAAAGAAGAAAAGAAAAUACUACUCCCUCCGUCCACGAAUUAAAGCCCUACUUGCACUUAAAUUUUUGUCCACCAAUUAAAGCCCUAUUGUGCUUUAUGUACCUUAUUACUCUUCUUCUUUUCCUAUAUUUACUACCCUUUGCCACUAAUGGACCCACCUUACAACAACUUUAUUAUUUUUAUAUUCUAUAUUUAUUACACUUUAUCACUAAUGGACCCACCACACAACACCUUUAACACUUUAGUCAACCAAUUUAUCACUUUAGUCAACUACCCUUAUAUUUCAUCCACAACACCUUUUUUAGUUUUCUUAGUCUCCGUGCCCACCCUCAAAUGGGGCUUUAAUUCGUGGACGGAGGGAGUAUAAUAUAGAAAAAAUACAGUAUAAAAAUAAAACGGAACGACAGGCAGCAAUGUCGUUUGGGAAUUCAACUGUCCCAGGCUCCGCAUAUCUACUGUCAUAGGCUCAUAGCCAUAGGCACUUAAAAAGCAAAGAAAAAGAAAGAAAGAAAAAAACAAGAAGAAAAGAAAAACACGCACAACACACACCACACCACCAUUUUCCUCUUCCUCCUCCUUCACUCACUUCUCCCAAAUUCCCCCCACCUCAUUAAACUCCCACCCUAAUUCCACAAAUCCAAACUCUCUCCCUCUCUCUCUCAGAUCCAUUGAGUUUGUUUGACUCAAUUUCUUCCUUCACAUCUUUCUACCUAAACUCGCUUGAAAUCACCUUCCGAUUCUCGUGUAUCUGGUGCCAACUUGUUGGGGGUGUUUUGGCUCAAGAGCUCGAAUUGUCGCUGAAAGCUAUGGCUUCGAUUGGAGCAGAUCUGUGCCGCAAAAUCUACCCCGAGCCGGUCGACCACUUCGAUCGGUUGCCGGACUCUCUCAUCCUCUUGAUCUUCAAUAAAAUCGGAGACGUGAAGGCGCUGGGCCGAUGCUGCGUCGUUUCGAGGCGGUUCCACUCGCUCGUUCCCCAAGUCGACAACGUC
rnacentral:lncRNA from 1 species